rnacentral:lncRNA from 1 species
GAGAAUUCUAUUUUCUUCUUCCUCUACCUCCCUACUUCUCUUUCUGUCCUGGCCCGAUCACAUCCUCUUUAAUCUUUCUAAAUGGAUAUUAUAGCCUCAGGGACUCCAAGAAGAUUCACGGAUAAACAGGAGCUAAGCCCCUGAAAUGCCAGGCUCCCUCCAAUGCCAUCUUCUCCACACAAAAGCCCUGGUUAGAAAUGCCAUCAAGAGAGCAGCCUCUGAGGGUUCUUUGUCAAACUCAAGAAGUGACUGAUGACUGAUGCACAUGGAAAGAGAAACGUCGACCCGAUGGGCUGCUCCAGAUUAAUGACCUAGAGGUGGCAAGGGACGUUUACACGGCCUCUGAUGCGCCCUUUGCUGUUGCCAUGCAACAAUAUGUCACCGGCUGA